rnacentral:misc_RNA from 1 species
GAUGAAGAACGCAGCGAAAUGCGAUAAGUAAUGUGAAUUGCAGAAUUCAGUGAAUCAUCGAAUCUUUGAACGCAUCUUGCGCUCCUUGGUAUUCUGAGGAGCAUGCCUGUUUGAGUGUCAUUAAAUUCUCAACUACACUGACUUUGAAUUGGUGUGGCUUGGAUUUGGGGUGAAAAUUGUUGUGGGCUUUUUGUAUAGUCUGCUCCCCUGAAAUUGAUUAGCGGUACCUUUGUGGAACUGUCUACAGGUGUGAUAAUUAUCUACAUCUUAGACAUCUGCUGGAAUGCUGCUUUCUAAACCUUACUUGUAUUGACAAUCUUGACCUCAAAUCAGGUAGGACUACCCGCUGAACUUAAGCAUAUCAAUAAGCGGAGGA